UUCGAUAUUUUGUCGGCCAUAGCCUGUACGAAUAAAGAAGUUAUUUUGUUUCUUAGUAAUCAGUUGAUCCUCAGUCGCCGAUCGACCUGAUACCCUUGCAUAAAAAGGUUUCGGGUGAUCGAAGGGCACGAAUGAAAUAACAUUUUUUACAGCUUUUUGCUGUCUAUCAGAUAUUCAUGGAAAAAGAAGUUGUGUCAGUGCCAAUAAAAGUUUUGAGAUUUGCCAAACGCAACUUCAUCUCCGUGAUCUUUCCAACUGUGGCAGCCUGGGCCAUCUACACGGACUACGCGCGUACUCAGCGAUUCAAAGCUAAGAAAGCUGCAGAACUGUUAGCGAUAGAAAGUACACAGAAAGGACUUAUCGAGGAUUCAUUUUGAACACAAACAGCCAUGGCUGGUUACAAGAUGAUGAGGGGCAACCCAAUGUUUACCAAUAUGAGGCAGAAGUAUCUUGGAUGUCUUAUCCCAUUCUUUGGAUUAGCUGUUGGGUAUUACUUCAAGGUCUAUUCGGACAACAAAAUGACGGACUUCCGCAACAAAAGUAAACUUUUUGGAGGACGGACCCUACCACCAGAUUCGUGGUGAUGUGUGAGGACAGUUAGGAUGAAUUUGUAAAUAAGUGUGUUGGUACUCUUUAUUUAGAUUCUGUACAUAAAUUAAACAUGUUAAGUGAUUUUCGUUUGGUCAAUACCACAAAUGAAAAUUUAAGUACCCGGUAUUACAGGUUUUCCAAAAGUUAAGUUCAAUCACAGCCACAUGUAAACACAGAUACCACUGUAGCUUAUCUGUUGCUGGAUAAAGUUGACCUGCGAGACAAACAAGGUCUCAUUGUUUAAGAUCCUAUGCCAUCGAAAGAAAUGCUCCAGCAAUGUAAUUUAAAUUCCCAUAACAUUUUCCUCUUCACUGAUGUUCAUCUCGCUCAAAAAAUGCGAUCACUUGUUCCUGAAAUUGAAAAUGUGUGACAACCAUGCCCACCAUAAUCGGCCUUGUAGUAACAGUAGCCUUGUAGAAGGUCAUGUAGGGCAUGUUGUUAGGAGUAGCACUGCAUGUACAUGUACUGAAUUUUGAAUAAAUUGCAAUUGUCUGGUAUAA